UUUCAGUUGAUAUGAAAAGAUCCACUUCUGUACUUGGUUGAGUUUCACCAUCAGGAGCCUGUCAAAACAAAUUACAUUUUUUAUUUCAAUACUAUUAUUUUAUUAAUACAACAAAGAUGAUUUAUUUUACUCAUCCAACUUACCAAAGCCUAUUUUACAAUCCAAAUACACUGCUUCUUCAGCUUGCAUCAUCCUGGUACUUUUUGUCGGUUGUCCUUCACAAGCCAACUGCGUAGAACCCAAGUAACGUGCUCGAAAUAAAACACCUUCAAUUAAUACUGCAGGUUUACGGGAUGACGGAAGAAACUUUUAAAAACCAGGACGUCCAAACACCCUAAUUGUACAGAACUUGAUAAACCACUUGUCCCAGCUCUUCACCUUACUUAUAGCCAAUAAGCAAUCUAUAUUUAAUUGUAUUAUUUUUGACUACAUAUUUAAUUGAAAAGUAGAAUUUUUAUAAUCUCAUAAGAAUUACUAUGGAUUUCAACAGUUGUCUUAGAAAGAUAACAAAUUUUUAAAUGUAUAAUUAAGUAAGAUAAAACUUUUUAAGUAGUUUUUCUACCCACAAAAUUGUUAAUAUAUAUUCAUAAUUAAUUGAAUAACUAAUAUACUGCAUCUAGUUUCACUCAGAAACUAAAAAUAAAUAUUAUAUAAUUAAGUUUAUAAUUUGAUGAUAGUUAUAAUGUUUGUAUAAUACAAGAUAUUUGUAAAGACUUUAACUAAUUAACUCAAAGUACUUUGCUGUUGACAGGCAAGCUGAUAGCAAGUGUAAAAAAGCAUCAUUAUUCAUAACCUCAAGUUUAGUUAAUUUUUUAGUUAAGCAUAAUUAUUGUUUAAAUAAUAUUAUAUUGCCUUUUAAGUGUUGACUAGCAAUAAAAGCAUUGAAACAAAAUCAUUAUUGAAUACUGCUGAAAAUUGCUUCUCAAUUUUCCAUGCGGCAUAAUAUAUUAGCGGUUAUUCAUUGUUUUUUACAAUUUAUUAAAAAUAUUAUUAAAUCAUUUCAAUUUU